UGGGGAAUUUUGCGCAAUGGGCGAAAGCCUGACGCAGCAACGCCGCGUGUGUGAUGAAGGUCUUCGGAUUGUAAAGCACUUUCGACCGGGACGAAAACCCUCAGCCCAACACGCUGAGGCUUGACGGUACCGGGAGAAGAAGCACCGGCUAACUCUGUGCCAGCAGCCGCGGUAAUACAGAGGGUGCAAGCGUUGUUCGGAAUUAUUGGGCGUAAAGCGCGUGUAGGCGGCUUUGCAAGUCGGGUGUGAAAGCCCUCAGCUCAACUGAGGAAGUGCGCCCGAAACUGCAGAGCUUGAGUGCCGGAGAGGGUGGCGGAAUUCCCCAAGUAGAGGUGAAAUUCGUAGAUAUGGGGAGGAACACCGGUGGCGAAGGCGGCCACCUGGACGGUAACUGACGCUGAGACGCGAAAGCGUGGGGAGCAAACAG
rnacentral:rRNA from 1 species